GCAUUGAAGUAUACUGUUGUGAUUGUUGCUGUUCUCCUCCCUUAGGUUUUGUACUGAGGAAAAUGCCCAAUUACGCUCAUUCACUUGCCCUUGAACCUAGUCCUGCCGACAACUACAAAUAAUGGCAUCAUAUUCUGCUAAAUGCUCUAGGAAUGUAACCCCUGAAAAUUUCUGGGUCCACUGUAUUAAGCUUGGAGUGAGGACUACAUUUCAGCCAGAUCAGAAAUGCAGAGGCUGGAGAGAGAAAUAUACAAAACCUUCUAAGGAAAAAAUGGUUGUCCAAAUAAAAAUAUAUGGGGUAUGUAAAGAUAAGUGACACAAAGCAUCUGAGGAGCGAGCAAGAGUGGAGAAGUGUGGGAGCUGAGGUCACGGAAGGAAAAAAAUCUACUGUCCCGCUCAAGGGUGUGUUUGCUGGUUCAGGCUCAAAAUAAAACAG
rnacentral:lncRNA from 1 species